rnacentral:tRNA from 1 species
GAAGGUAUGGCUUAGUGGUCAGAGCGCUUGGGUUUCCAAGAGGCGCGGGUUCAAAUCCCGCUUCGUUUA